UCUUAUUUUUCCUUACGUCACAGUUGAGAAAGCUGGGGCACAGAGAGGUUAGUUAGGUAAAGUGCCCAAAGUCGCACAGAAAGGAAAUAGUAGAAAUAAGAUCCAAACCUAGGCAGUCUGAUUUUUAAGCCUGCUCUCAGAAUCGCAGCAUCAUACAGCAAGGCAAACCAUAGAUAAGGGGACUGAGAAGCAGAACACCGGCUAAGUUGCUCUUUGCUGUGCAAUCACUAAGACGAGCACCCAUGGUCAGUCGAGGUUUUUGUGACGCUCUCAGGUUGGGCUCCUUUCCUCACAGAUCCUGCCUCAACAACGGACCGUGUCCAUUUAACGGAGGAAAAGCCCCACCACUCAUGGUGUUUAAGGCUGGCCGUGCCCCAGGACCAAACGUUCCUGCUCCCAAAGCGAGAGGCAUGGUGAUAGGGCACCACUACACAGAGGUGGGUCCCCCCGUGCCUGAGCCUUCCCCUGAGAAAAGGUACUCAGUAAUGAAGACUCUAUUGAGCCAUGUGGAUUUAGUCUCCAGCCUGCACAACAGAUCCCCAACCACAGGCAUGGAUAUCCCGAGGAAAGGAGCACAGGGUGACAAGAUGAGGCAAGAGGCUGCCUGUCCCCAGCCAGAUCUCAUGACCCAACCACACAGUGGGAAGAGGACUGUGUGAAAUUGCUGAAGCAAUCCAAAGUGAAAGAAAAACGUGAGAACUCGCCCGGACAUAAGGUUUUACUGACUGAAGAAAAGCUGCAAAGCCACACAGGCCCGUGAUGUUUUCCCGGCAGCACCGUGAUUCUCUCUCUCCAGGAAAAGGCCCCUGUAGGAGGCCUUGCUUGCUCUCUGCCCAGUGAUUUAUCUGAACUGAAUCUCAGUUACUAGCUCUCGUUUUCAAAGACCUCAGAUCCAGAAGAGUCUUUGCAGACCAUUUGCCAAGGGCCUCCCGGCUGCUUCCCCUGUGUCUGUGUUAUUCCCACUUGCGUUAUGUGUGUGGGGCCCAAAAUUAUUUUUUCCAGCAGAUGGGUCAUACUGCUCCUUUAAAAAUGAAAGUGAGAGAGAGAGAGAGACUACACCAAAUCUAGAAUUAAGGCAGGGUCUCGUGAUUUACAGAGUACCAGGGUGUGUAGGGGUGGUUUCUACAACUCCAUAGGCAAAACUUACCUUUAUAAAAACACAGUGGCUUAUACACACCCUUGCGAAACACUCAGAGCAGAAGAGUCAAUGCUUCUAAUGAGUGGAGCUAAUAGAAUAUUUUAAUUUGGUUCCCAAUCUUUUACAUAGGAGCUUCCCAAAGUAUCUACUUUGCACAUAUCCUGGCCAACCCAGAAGUAACCAAAUACAAACAUUUAAUGUAAGGAUGAAGGUUCCUUGGUCUAUAUUUAGAGUCUGCUUGAAAAGUUGAUGCCGCUUGGUCUCCCUGGGGGUCUGAAGCCCUGCCCAAGAUGUACAGUGCUUGCUUGCCGAAAUCUCACUGGAUUUCAGGUCCCCAACCCCAGUGACAGUCCCAUCAAAACACGAAUGUCAUUCUGUGGGAGGGAAGGAAAAAGGUAAAGGGCAGUGGGACAGUAGGCUGGUCAAUCAUCUUAUCAAGGUUACUCAGACGUCAGUGUCUCUGAGGGAUUUCCAGGCCAAAAGGAAUUCUUUUGUGUUUGUUUUACAAUAAUAGUGGCAUUUCCUCAUCUCCCCAGAAAACAUGUGGUUUCCAAAGAGACCAACUGCAUCGAAUGCCGUGUACGAGCUGGACCUAAUGGGUAUAUCGUUUUUUUCCUUACCAGCCUUUUGUUCCCUGCA
rnacentral:lncRNA from 1 species